GAUGAACGCUGGCGGCGUGCCUAAUACAUGCAAGUCGAGCGAAUGGAUUAAGAGCUUGCUCUUAUGAAGUUAGCGGCGGACGGGUGAGUAACACGUGGGUAACCUGCCCAUAAGACUGGGAUAACUCCGGGAAACCGGGGCUAAUACCGGAUAACAUUUUGAACCGCAUGGUUCGAAAUUGAAAGGCGGCUUCGGCUGUCACUUAUGGAUGGACCCGCGUCGCAUUAGCUAGUUGGUGAGGUAACGGCUCACCAAGGCAACGAUGCGUAGCCGCCCUGACAGGGUGAUCGGCCACACUGGGACUGAGACACGGCCCAGACUCCGACGGGAGGCAGCAGUAGGGAAGCUUCCGCAAUGGACGAAAGUCUGACGGAGCAACGCCGCGUGAGUGAUGAAGGCUUUCGGGUCGUAAAACUCUGUUGUUAGGGAAGAACAAGUGCUAGUUGAAUAAGCUGGCACCUUGACGGUACCUAACCAGAAAGCCACGGCUAACUACGUGCCAGCCGCCGCAGUAA
rnacentral:rRNA from 1 species